UACGUAGGGGGCAAGCGUUGUCCGGAUUUAUUGGGCGUAAAGAGCGUGUAGGCGGCCAGGUAGGUCCGCUGUGAAAACCUCGAGGCUCAACCUCGAGAUGUCGGCGGAAACCAUCUGGCUAGAGUCCGGAAGAGGAGAGUGGAAUUCCUGGUGUAGCGGUGAAAUGCGCAGAUAUCAGGAAGAACACCCGUGGCGAAGGCGGCUCUCUGGGACGGUACUGACGCUGAGACGCGAAAGCGUGGGGAGCGAACAGG
rnacentral:rRNA from 1 species